rnacentral:rRNA from 1 species
GUUUAUUAAUGGCCGCGGUACUUUGACCGUGCUAAGGUAGCGUAAUCAAUUGACUUUUAAUUGAAGUCAGGUAUGAAUGGAGUUACGGGGUUUAACUGUCUCUUAUUUAAUUUAUCGAAAUUACUAUUCAGGUGAAAAAGCCUGAAAAUAUAAAAAGGACGAGAAGACCCUUAGAGUUUAUCUUAUUUUAAAAAAUAUUUUUUAAAUCAGUUUUGUUGGGGCAACAUAGGAUUAAAUUAACAUCCUAAAUUUAAUAAGCCGAUAUUUAUAAGUUUGAAAAAACUACCUUAGGGAUAACAGCAUAAUUUUAUUAAUAAGUUUGUGACCUCGAUGUUGGACUAAGAAACUAAAAGGCUAGUCGCCUUUUAGGAAAGCUCUGUUCGAGCUAUAAAUUCU